AUUGAACGCUGGCGGCGUGCUUAACACAUGCAGGUCGAUCGGUAACGCGGGGGCAACCCUGGCGACGAGAGGCGGACGGGUGAGGAACGCUUGGGAAUCUGCCUAUCAGCGGGGGACAACACGGGGAAACUCGUGCUAAUACCGCAUACGCUCUACGGAGGGAAGCCGGGGACCGCAAGGCCUGGCACUGAUAGAUGAGCCCAAGCCGGAUUAGCUAGUUGGCGGGGUAACGGCCCACCAAGGCGACGAUCCGUAGCUGGUCUGAGAGGACGAUCAGCCAGACUGGGACUGAGACACGGCCCAGACUCCUACGGGAGGCAGCAGUGGGGAAUAUUGGACAAUGGGGGAAACCCUGAUCCAGCGACGCCGCGUGGGUGAAGAAGGCCUGCGGGUUGUAAAGCCCUUUCGGUAGGGACGAAAGCUCUCGACCUAACACGUCGGGAGGUUGACUUAACCUACAAAAGAAGCACCGGCUAACUCUGUGCCAGCCGCCGCGGUAAGAC
rnacentral:rRNA from 1 species